GACGAACGCUGGCGGCGCGCCUAACACAUGCAAGUCGAACGGAGCUUAGAGAGCUUGCUUUUUAAGCUUAGUGGCGAACGGGUGAGUAACGCGUGAGUAACCUGCCCUAGAGUGGGGGACAACAGUUGGAAACGACUGCUAAUACCGCAUAAGCCCACGGUACCGCAUGGUACUGAGGGAAAAGGAUUUAUUCGCUUUAGGAUGGACUCGCGUCCAAUUAGCUAGUUGGUGAGGUAACGGCCCACCAAGGCGACGAUUGGUAGCCGGACUGAGAGGUUGAACGGCCACAUUGGGACUGAGACACGGCCCAGACUCCUACGGGAGGCAGCAGUGGGGGAUAUUGCACAAUGGGGGGAAACCCUGAUGCAGCGACGCCGCGUGGAGGAAGAAGGUUUUCGGAUUGUAAACUCCUGUUGUUGAGGAAGAUAAUGACGGUACUCAACAAGGAAGUGACGGCUAACUACGUG
rnacentral:rRNA from 1 species